UUCGCAAUGCCCGAAAGGGUGACGAAGCGGCGCCGCGUGAGCGAAGAAGGCCCUAGGGUUGUAAAGCUCUGUCGGGGGUUAUGGAAUGUAGGCUGGCUAAUACCCAGUUUAUUUGACAAAGGCCCCAAAGGAAGCCACGGCUAACUCUGUGCCAGCAGCCGCGGUAAUACAGAGGUGGCAAGCGUUGUUCGGUAUUAUUGGGCGUAAAGAGCACGUAGGUGGUUUUGUAAGUCAGAUGUGAAAGCCUUCUGUUCAAAGGAAGAACGGCAUCUGAAACUGCAUAUCUUGAGUGUAGGAGGGGAGAGUGGAACUUCUGGUGGAGCGGUGAAAUGCGUAGAUAUCAGAAGGAACGUCGGCGGCGAAAGCGACUCUCUGGCCUAUUACUGACACUGAGUGUGCGAAAGUUAGGGGAGCAAACGGGAUUAGAUACCCCGGUAGUCCUAACUGUAAACGAUGGGCACUAAGUAGAGGGGUUUU
rnacentral:rRNA from 1 species